GGCCUAACACAUGCAAGUCGAGCGGUAGAGAGAAGCUUGCUUCUCUUGAGAGCGGCGGACGGGUGAGUAAUGCCUAGGAAUCUGCCUGGUAGUGGGGGAUAACGUUCGGAAACGGACGCUAAUACCGCAUACGUCCUACGGGAGAAAGCAGGGGACCUUCGGGCCUUGCGCUAUCAGAUGAGCCUAGGUCGGAUUAGCUAGUUGGUGGGGUAAUGGCUCACCAAGGCGACGAUCCGUAACUGGUCUGAGAGGAUGAUCAGUCACACUGGAACUGAGACACGGUCCAGACUCCUACGGGAGGCAGCAGUGGGGAAUAUUGGACAAUGGGCGAAAGCCUGAUCCAGCCAUGCCGCGUGUGUGAAGAAGGUCUUCGGAUUGUAAAGCACUUUAAGUUGGGAGGAAGGGCAGUAAAUUAAUACUUUGCUGUUUUGACGUUACCGACAGAAUAAG
rnacentral:rRNA from 1 species